rnacentral:rRNA from 1 species
GUUUUUUUGAAAAUAAUUUAAAGUCAAAUCUGCCCCCUGAUUAGAUUAAAGGGCUGCAGUAAAUUGACUGUACAAAGGUAGCAUAAUAAAUAGUCUUUUAAUUGAAGACUUGUAUGAAUGAUUUAAUGAAAUAUGAACUGUCUCUUUAAUAUAAUUAAAAUUUAAUUUUUUAGUAAAAAAGCUAAAAUUUUUUUAAAAGACGAGAAGACCCUAUAGAGUUUUAUAUUUAAUUUAAUUAUAAUUUUUUAUUAAUUUUAUAUUAAUUAAUUUAAUUUAAAUAUUUUAUUGGGGGGAUAAAAAAAUAAAAUUAACUUUUUUUUUUAUAUAUAUAUAUAUAAUAUAUAUAUAUAUAUAUAUACAUUAAUUAAUGAAAAAAUGAUCCAUAAUUUAUGAUUAAAAGAAAAAAUUACCUUAGGGAUAACAGCGUAAUUUUUUUUUUUAGUUCAAAUAAAAAAAAAAGUUUGCGACCUCGAUGUUGGAUUAAGAUAAAAUUUAAAUGUAGAAGUUUAAACUUUUGAUCUGUUCAAUCAUUAAAAUCUUA